rnacentral:rRNA from 1 species
UAGGGAAUCUUCGGCAAUGGACGAAAGUCUGACCGAGCAACGCCGCGUGAGUGAAGAAGGUUUUCGGAUCGUAAAACUCUGUUGGUAGAGAAGAACGUUGGUGAGAGUGGAAAGCUCAUCAGGUGACGGUAACUACCCAGAAAGGGACGGCUAACUACGUCNCG